rnacentral:misc_RNA from 1 species
AUGAAGAACGCAGCGAAAUGCGAUAAGUAAUGUGAAUUGCAGAAUUCAGUGAAUCAUCGAAUCUUUGAACGCACCUUGCGCUCUUUGGUAUUCCGAAGAGCAUGCCUGUUUGAGUGUCAUGAAAAUAUCAACCUUGACUUGGGUUUUGUGCUCUAGUCUCGGCUUGGAAUUGGGUGCUUGCCGCUUUUACGAGCGGCUCACCUUAAAUGUAUUAGCUGGAUCUGUCUUUGAGACUUGGUUUGACUUGGCGUAAUAAGUAUUUCGCUAAGGACAUUCUUCGGAGUGGCCUCGUUUCUAGGACGCUUGUCCGCUUUCCAAUACAAGUUCCACCUCGUGGACAUGACUUUUUAUUAUCUGGCCUCAAAUCAGGUAGGACUACCCGCUGAACUUAAGCAUAUCAAUAAGCGGAGGA